GCCUUGCUCAGUGGGUUAAGGAUCUGGCACUGCUGCAAGCUGCAGCGAAGGCCGCAGAUGCCUCUCGAAUCCAGUGUCGCUGUGGCCGUGACUGUGGCGUCGGCCUGCGCUGCAGCUCCAAUCGACCCCUAGCCCGGGAACUUCCGUGUGCUGCAGGUGCAGUCCCAAAAAUAAAAAAAAAAUAAAGAAAAGAAACCCACCUCUGGCUAGAUAUCCAGAGGAAACAAAAUCAGGACGGUGAGGGAAGCAUUUGGACUCCAAUAAGCAUUACUGCAUCAUUCGUUAACAAAAUGUCUAAAGAACCGAAAUGUUUGAUCACAGAUGAAUUGAUAGAGAAAUUUAUGUCAGCCAUAAAUUAUUAUUCUAACAUCUGACAGUAUCAUUAUUGUUACUUCUGACAUUAUUGGACUGAAAAAGACGCGUAGACAGAUAUCCGAAAUGUCAAACUCAUAGCGCCGUAGACUCUGCAGUUUGUUACAUGGGACUGAGUGGCAUGACAAUUAGGGAGCUGUCGGCCAGAGGUUACCCACACUCAGUUGUGCCCUGAAGAGGUACCCCGUGUCGAUCUAGUGUGAAGUGUGCCCACUGCCAUUAAUGCUGUGUUACUGUAUGCGUGGAAAUUGCUCAGCGAGUGAAACUUAAGGAUUCUCACCACACAGACGCCCACUGGUAGUUGUGAGUCGACGGAAAUGUCGGUUAUGUCACUGUCAACAUCUCUACGCAUCCGAACGUCUGACAGGCAGUCCCGUCGGGUGCUUCGUAUGAACUCCAUUGUUUGUCAUCAAUUAUGUGCUAAGAAAGCUGGAAAAGCAAACAGGAAUGAGAGGUGUCCUGGGCCCGCCCCCUCUGAGUGGUGCUCAACCCAGGUUUCACGUCCGAUGGUUGGUGUGUUUUGCAUAUACGUGUUCCGUGCCCUUUGACUAGAGAGUCUCCUUUGAAUAGUGGAUGUGGGGCCUCAACAAUAGUUAAGGCCCCCCCAGGUGAUUCCAAUCCGGAUCCAUCCUUGAGCAGCAAGGCUCCGCGUCCUCCCAAUCCUGAGGGCUGGGAUCUGGGCUGAGGGGGCGGGGGCUCUGCUCUGUACGGGGAUGGAGCAGGGCUGGUCUGUGACCUGCUGGGGGUUGUGGGGUACAGCGGAGGUGCCCACGGCUGCGGUGUGGGUGAGGGCCUCACCAGAAGAAUACUGUGAUCUUAAGAAAAGUCUGGGAAAACUCCUUUGUGGGUCUUUAUGGGAGUUUCCUGUCCUGAGUCCCUCCUGGGACCGUGGGCAGCAGAGGCCUGUCUCUUCCACAUGGUGUGGUCUCCCCUCUGUGUGUGGUUGUGGCACAGGAAGGAGGCGUGUGGAUCCUACACUUUAGGAACCUUCUCACCUUUCAAGAUUGACUUCGAAGCCUCAUGUUGCCUGAGCAAGAAGCCCAGCAGGGGAGGAGGAGGAAGAGGAAGGAAGACCAGGAGUCAGGAAUGGCUGUUUCUCAGGGACCAUUGACCUUGGAGGACGUGGCCAUCGAGUUCUCCCCGGAGGAGUGGGCCUGCCUGGACCCUGCCCAGAGGGCCUUGUACAGGGACGUGAUGCUGGAGACCUACAGGAACCUGCUCUCCCUGGAUAUCUCUCCUAUACUUGUGAUUAAGAAAUUACAACCGAAAGUAAACACUGAUAGAGGAGAAGCAUUCCAGACAGUGAAGCUGCAAAGACAGGAAAGGAACAAAAUCAAACAUUUUUACCUGAGGGAAAUCCAGGGAAGCACAUACGACCUUGAGGCUCAGCAGAGAGAUGAGGAAAGAACUGACAAAGGAAUGGCUGUAACGCAACACGAAAAUCUCACCGCUAAGCGAGAUCGACAUGGUACCAGUAUUGCAGGGAUCAGUCCUGCUGGUAGCAGGUUUGCAGUAAGCUUUCAGGAUGAACUGCAAGGAUUUAAAAGUGCAGAGAAAAUUCUUCAAGCUGACACGAGUCUCCGUAGUCGUGCAUCAUUUUCACCACCUCAAACAGUGUCUCCUGUCAUCCAAGCCAACAUCCCUAACACAAAUGGGAGUGAUUUUCCGCCUCCUUCCAUACUGACGCAAGACCAUCGUGAACACAGGGAAAGCCCGCACAGAUAUAAUCGGGGGAGUGAAACUUUUCAUCAGGACCUAAACCUCACUGAAUCUCCGAUCAUCCUUGCAGGAGAGAAAGUACAUGACUGUGAACUUUGCGGCAAAGUCUUUCGUCUGAACUCAGAUCUUGCAGUUCAUCUGAGAAAUCAUACUGGAGAGAAAGCUUACAAACCUGUGCGUGGCCAAACCCUGAGUCCCGGCGCACACAACACAGGACCUCCGACAAGCCGUAUAGACGAGAACGUGUAUACAUGUGAGGUGUGCAAAAAAGCCUUCCGUCGAAAGUCAUACCUCGCCAUGCAUCAGCGAAUUCAUGCUGCAGAGAAAGCCUACACCUGUGAUGUGUGUGGCAAGAAGUUUCAUCACAGUUCGAAUCGAAGGAGACAUCAGAGAAUCCACACGGGAGCCAAGCCGUACGCAUGUGACGUGUGCGGUAAAGGCUUUAAUCGCAAUUCAAUCCUCGCGCUUCAUCGGCGAAUUCACACGGGCGAGAAGCCCUACAAGUGUAACUCGUGUGGCAAGGUCUUUAGCCGAAAAGGAACCCUUGCGAGUCACCAGAGGAUUCACACGGGAGAGAAACCUUACAGAUGUACCCAGUGUGGCAAAACCUUUCACCACCGCUCCGUCCUCCUGCGCCAUCAGAUGAUCCAUCAGGGGCUGAAGUUGCAUAAAUGCGAUGUCUGCGGCAACGUUUAUAGUCGCAGAUCAAAUCUUGUCAUUCAUCACAGGACUCACACUGGAGAGAAACCUUACACAUGCCAUGCGUGCGGCCAGCUCUUCAGUCAGAAAGCAUCCCUUGCGUGUCACCAGGCAGUUCAUACGGGAGAGGAGCCUUACAGAUGCAGUGAGUGCGGCAAAAGCUUCCACCACAGUUCAAACCUCAGGAAACACCAGCUCCUUCAUAAAGGAGGGAAAGAAUAUAAAUGCGAGGUGUGUGGCAAAGUCUUCAGUCAAAAUGCAUACCUCGCAAAGCACCAGAGACUUCACUCUGGAGAGACCCCUUACAGGUGCAGCGACUGUGGGAAGGUCUUCAGGAAAAAAGCAAUUCUUACACUUCAUCAGAGGACACAUACCGGAGAGGAGGACGCUUAUCAAUGUCACGAGUGCGGCAAAGUCUUUUGUCAGAAAGGCACCCUUGCAAGGCAUCGGCUCAUCCACGCUCAAGCCACACCUUACACAUGUGAUGCGUGUGGCAAAACCUUUGAUCAGCGCGCAACCCUCGCUCGCCAUCAGGCAACCCACGCAGGUGAGAAAUUACAUAAAUGUGAUAUCUGUGGCAGAAUCUAUCGUCGAAAGUCAGACCUUGCCGUUCAUCAGAGAAAUCACACCGGCGAGAAGCCCUACCGAUGCCAUGAGUGUGGCAAGACCUUUAAUUACAGAUCGAAACUCAGUCGCCAUCAGCUAAUCCACACGGAAGAGAAACUGUAUAAAUGCGAUGUGUGCGGCAGAGUCUUCAGUCAAAAUUCCUAUCUUGCCAGACACCAGAGAAUUCACACUGGAGAGAAGCCUUAUGAAUGUAGUGCCUGUGGCAAAACCUUUAAUGAUAAGUCCGCCUUCAGCCGACAUCAGAUGAUCCACACAGGAGCAAAACCUUACAAGUGUGAUGUGUGUGGCAGCGUGUUCCGUCGCCGUUCACACCUUGCCGGGCAUCAGAGAAUUCACACUCAAGAGAGACCGUAUACAUGCAAUGUCUGCGGCAAGGUGUUUACCCAGAAUUCACAUCUUAGGGUGCAUCAGAGGGUUCACACUGGAGAGAAACCUUACAAAUGUCACGAGUGCGGCAAGGUCUUUAGUCAGAACCCAACCCUUGCAAAGCAUCAGAGGAUUCACACCCAAAAGAAACCUUAACGAUGUCGCGAGCGUGGUCAAGUCUUCAGUGAAGAGUCUCGGCUUGAAACUCAGUGGAAAAUCCAUGCUGUGCAGAAACCUUUCCUUCCGAAGGGUUGCGUGUGGAAACGCCUUCAGUCAGAUUUCUACCCUCUUCAGGUAAUGGGUACACAGGGGACGUCAUGCUGAUGUGACCUGUUUGGCAAGGACGUCAGUAAACACGGACACUUUAAAUCCACGGGCCAUUCAUAGUGGGGAGAACGGGUGUGAAUAUCUUAAGUGUGGCAGAGCCUUACGUCCAACCGCGGAGCCCCUGCUCGACAGAAACCGGAGCAACCUCGUGCCUGUCUCAGGGGUCUUAAGUCAAAAUUCAUGCCUUCACGAUCCACCAAGAAAUUCCAACUGGAGAGAAACCUCACAAGUAUCAGGAGUCUGGGGAAUUCGUCAGUGUACUUUCAAGCCUAACUUACUGUCAGGUCAUCCCUAUUGGGAGAGAUUUUAAUAGAGCAAGGGUUUUAGCAGGUGUCCCCAUCCACGCGUUAUUGGAGAAGUUACGCUUGAGAGAAAUCAGGUGCAUGUAUUUCAUAUGACCAGGCUUUCAGACCAGAAAGUCAUUCACCAAAGAAUUCACUCUGCAGAUGACCUCACACAGGCCACGCGUGGGAAGAACCUUUACUCAGGGCUCACAUCUCACAAAUCAUCAGACUAUCCCCACAGGACAGAGUAUGACAGAGGUGCCGAAGGUGGCAACGCUCUUCUCUUGUGCCUUAAACGAAGCCUUCACCAAAUGCUCCAUGCUUACAAAUUGAGUGAACAUGGCAAUUUCAAAGUAUUGCACACUCACCCCUGGACACCAGAGUAUACGUCCUGGAAGAAAAACCAUCAGAAUGCAGUGUGCGUGGCAAAGAUUUUACCCAAUGAUUCCAAGAUGGGAAGGUCCUGAAAUAAUACCUUCCAAACGCAAGGAGUGUAGCAAAACCUUCUACCUGAGGUUCAAAUAUUCGGUAACGUGGGCAUUUCGUUUGAAACCAUACAAUUGCGGGGGCAGAGGCUUUACCCAGUCCUUGCAAGGAACUAGACUCUUCAGUGUACAUGUUUGAGAAGCCACACAAAGCAGUGUGUGUGCCAAGGUUGGUACCUGAAGAUGGAAGCUGUGAAACGUAGAGAAUUAACGUUGGAGAGCCGCGUUUCGGAUGCAGUGAGGGUUGUUGACAUUUUCAUCAAGUGUUGACAACGUCGACGUGACGUUAUGUCAAUAUUUUGAAGUCUGUGGCUCUUAUGCCUUUGCUUCAGGCCUUUCAGGGUUGUCCCUGGGCAGGAAUCCGCAGGAUAAUACACCUGACAGCAUUAGGUGGGGUUCCCUCGCAUCCACGUUCCCUGGACAGAGCGGGGCCCUGGGUUUUCUGGUUCAACAGCACGUGCAUUUGCCUUAGAGAAAACCCCAGGCAAAACCGUGACACGACUCAUCCUGCUUGUCGGGCUCCGGGCGCUCUUCCGUAGACAGGCUGCUGCGGGUUACAGGACAGAAUCCUCUCCCGGCUGACGGUGAACGGAGCAGGAUGGGCAUCAGGGAGCCCCGUUUUUCCCACGAGCAGAGUGAGAGGUUCCCAGGCACUGAUUAUGCAGUGGAAACAAUGCUCAGGGGACGUGAUUGGUGGCAUGGUGACCAGAAGCUGCACUGUAUGUUGAGCAGGACAUCCUCUUUGCUCUGUGGUUGUCACAGCCCUUUGGGGGGCUGUGCCUGCUUGGCAGCUGUUGGAGUAGAAGCCCCCACACCUGGUUCUGAGCUGCAGUAGGAAGAAGGCAGGACUGGAGCCUUGUUCCUGCCCAGGAGCUGCCCAAGGCAGUGCCAGAGGCAUGCAGAAGUUUUCAGCCCUGCGACUGAACACAUUCCACCACCAGAUCCUCAACCACUAGGCCACCAGGAAACUCCCUCUUACAGCUUUGAUUGUAUGAAAUCUUCUGCCAGCAUUCAGCAGGUGUUCUGUGAGAAUUGUU